rnacentral:rRNA from 1 species
UACGUAGGGUGCGAGCGUUGCCCGGAUUUAUUGGGCGUAAAGGGCGCGCAGGCGGUACGGCACGUCCGUUGUGAAAUCGCUCGGCUCAACUGGGCGGGGUCAGCGGAUACGGCCGCACUUGAGCAAGCUAGGGGGCAAUGGAAUUCCCGGUGUAGUGGUGGAAUGCGUAGAUAUCAGGAGGAACACCGGUGGCGAAGGCGGUUCUCUGGGCAUGUCCUGACGCUGGAGGAGCGAAAGUGUGGGGAGCGAACAGG